rnacentral:lncRNA from 10 species
CACAUAUAGCUGUCAAAGUGCUCAUGUCCAGAAUAUAUAAGUAACUUUUACAAAUUACUAAGUUAAUCCAAUAGAAAAAUGGGCAAAAGACACAGAAGCACUUCAAAAAUGACAUACAAAAGUCCAAUAAACAAAGGAAAAGUUGCUUCAUUAGUGAUCAUCAGGGAAAUAAAUAAUAUUAAAACGACAAUAAUAGCUCUAUACAUUGGCAAAAAGGAUGUGGCAAAGUGGGAGGUUUCAUGCAUUGCUGUGGGAGGAGUAUAAAUGGGUACAACCACUUUGGAGAAUAGUUUUGCAUUUUCUCCUAAAGUUGAAGAUAACAUUCCCUACCAAAGUCACCACUCUGUACACCUCCAGAAGCUUCAUUCAUGUUGUUAUCUAUAGAAAUGCUACUGCCUCAAGUUGUACAGUAGUACAUGGCCUGUGUGGCUAUACACAUUUCCCCUUUGUUUCCCCUAUGACCCAGUUGUAUAUAUCUCAGUUCUGGAUAUAUACUCUAGAAAACCUGUAUACAAGUGUAUGACGAUGCACGUUGAUAGCAGUACUAUUCACAGUAGCCAAGAACUGAAAAUGACCCAAACGCCAACUUCUAGUAGAACAAAUGAAUUGUGGAAUAUUCAUAGAUGGAAUACUAUAGAGCAAUGAGAACAAAUGACCUGAACCUAACAAAAACAACAUGGAUGCACAGUACAAACGUAAUACUGAACGAAAUACAUAAUUUUAAUAUACACAAUAUGAUUCCAGCUUUAUAAAAACAGUCAAAACUACAUUGGUUUAGGCAUAUACAGACACACAAAAGUGGCAGAGGUAUUUGGAAAAAAAAACCAAGGAAGUGAUAAAAGUCAGGAAAAUAGGAGGGAGGGGAGAAGGUGGGGAAGGAUUACCAGGGGCAAAGAAAACUUUUGGCAUGAUGAGUAUGUCUUGUUAGAUUGUGGUGAUGAUUUCACAGGUGUAUAGUAUAUAUCAGAACUUAUCAAAUUGUGUGUAUACUUUGAAUAUGUACAGUUUAUUAUAUGUCAAGGAUACAUCAAUAAAACUUUUAAAAUCAACAUUUUACAUUUUAAAUAUUGUUAAUAACUGCACUAUUCUUAUUUAUAUUUUUAAUAAUAAAAAUUGGAUAAAAGUGGAUCCGAUAGGGAAAGCCUAAAGCUAUUUCUAUUAGUGGCACUAUCCUUCUCAGUGGCCCUUGAGGCACCUUCAAUAAAGCCCUAGCCCUCUGAAGAAGAGUUUGAAAAUUUCUGUUUUAAACUAAGUCUUAACCACAGGCUCUUAAGCCAGCUGACAAAAUUUAUAUUAAUUUUUAAAUUACAUUUCUUUCCAAAUAGUCUCACAGCAAUUUCCUGUAAUAAUUUUUUUGGAGAUACAUGCAAACUUUGAUACUGCCAAUAAUUUUUAAUUUUCAAUUUUUGUGGGUACAUAGGUAUAUAUAUUUAUGGAGUACAUGAGAUAUUUUUAUACAGGUCUGCAAUGUGUAACAAUCACAUCAUGGAAAAUGGGGGUAGCCAUCUCCUCAAGCAUUUAUCCUUUGUUUUACAAACAAUCGAAUUAUACUUUAUUAUAUUAAAAUGUACAACUGAAUUAUUUUGACUAUAGUCACCCUGUUGGGCUAUCAAACAGUAGGUCUUAUUCAUUCUAUUUUUUUAAUACCCAUUAACCAUCCCCACCUCCCCUCCACCCUCACCCCCACUAUCCUUUCCAGCCUCUGGUAACCAUCCAUGAAUUUAAUCAUUUUGAUUUUGGAUCCUACUAAUAAAUGAGAACAUGUGAUGUUUGUCUUUCUGUGCCUGACUUGUUUCACUUAACAUAAUGAUCUUCGAGUUCCAUCCAUGUUGCAAAUGACAAGAUCUCAUUCUUUAAGGCUGAAUAGUAUUCCAUUGUGUAUGAGUACCACAUUUUCUUUAUCUACUCAUCUGUUGAUGGAUACUUAAGUUGUUUCCAAAUAUUGGCUAUUGUGGACAAACAUGGGAGUGCAGGUUAUCUCUUUGAUAUACUGAUUUCCUUUCUUUUGGGUAGAUAUGUAGCAGUGGGAUUGCUGGAUCUUACAGCAGCUCUAUUUUCAGUUUCUUGAGGAACCUCUAAACUGUUCUCCAUAGUGGUUGUACUAAUUUAAAUUUCCACCAGCAGUGUACAAGGGUUCUCUUUUCUCCACAUCCUCACCAGCAUUUAAUAUUGCCUGUCUUUUGGAUAAAAUCCAUUCUAACUAGGGUAAGAUGAUAUCUCAUUGUAGUUUUGAUCUGCAUUUCUCUGAUGAUCAAUGAUGUUGAGCACAUUUUCAUAUGCCUGUUUGCCAUUUAUCACUUCUUUUUUGACAAAUGUCUAUUCAAAUCCUUUGCCCAUUAAUUGGAUUAGAUUUUCUUCCUAUAGAGGUGUUUGGACAUACAGCUUAUAUAUUCUGGUUAUUAAUCCCUUUGAGAGGUGACAGCAUGCUGGCAGUCCUCACAGCCCUCGCUCGCUCUCAGCGCCUCCUCUGCCUGGGCUCCCACUUUGGCAGCACUUGAGGAGCCCUUCGGCCCACCACUGCACUGUGGGAGCCCCUUUCAGGGCUGGCCAAGGCCGGAGCCGGCUCCCUCAGCUUGCAGAGAGGUGUGGAGGGAGAGGCGCGAGCAGGAACUGGGCCGGUGCUUGCGGGCCAGCUGGAGUUCUGGGUGGGUGUGGGCUUGGCGGGCCCCACACUCGGAGCAGCCGGCCGGCCCUGCCAGCCCCAGGUAAUGACGGGCUUAGCACCUGGGCCAGUGGCUGCAGAGGGUAUACUGGGUCCCCCUGCAGUGCCAGCCCACCGGCGCUGCACUCAAUUUCUCACCAGGCCUUAGCUGCCUUCCCACAGGGCAGGGCUCGGGACCUGCAGCCCACCAUGCCUGAGCCUCCCACCCCCUCCAUGGGCUCCUGUGUGGCCCGAGCCUCCCCGACGAGCACCGCCCCCUGCUCCACAGCACCCAGUCCCAUCGACCACCCAAGGGCUGAGGAGUGCAGGCACACGGCGUGGGACUGGCAGGCAGCUCCACCUGCAGCCCUGGUGUGGGACCCACUGGGUGAAGCCAGCUGUGCUCCUGAGUCUGGUGGGGCCUUAGAGAAGCUUUAUGUCUAGCUCAAGGAUUGUAAAUACACCAAUCGCACUCUGUAUCUAGCUCAAGGUUUGUAAACACACCAAUCAGCACCCUGUGUCUAGCUCAGGGAUUGUAAAUACAUCAAUCAGCACACUGUGUCUAGCUCAGGGUUUGUGAAUGCACCAAUUGACACUGUAUCUAGCUACUCUGGUGGGGCCUUGGAGAACCUUUAUGUCUAGCUCAGGGAUUGUAAAUACACCAAUUGGCACUCUGUAUCUAGCUCAAGGUUUGUAAACACACCAAUCAGCAGCCUGUGUCUAGCUCAGGGUUUGUGAAUGCACCAAUUGACACUCUGUAUCUAGUUACUCUGGUGGGGCCUUGGAGAACCUUUGUGUCGACACUCUGUAUCUAGCUAAUCUGGAGGGGAUGUGGAGAAACUUUGUGUCUAGCUCAGGGAUUGUAAACGCACCAAUCAGCGCCCUGUCAAAACAGACCACUCAGCUCUACCAAUCAGCAGGAUGUGGGUGGGGCCAGAUAAGAGAAUAAAAGCAGGCUGCCUGAGCCAGCAGUGGCAACCGGCUCGGGUCCCCUUCCACACUGUGGAAGCUUUGUUCUUUUGCUCUUUGCAAUAAAUCUUGCUACUACUC